rnacentral:miRNA from 1 species
UGAAGCUGCCAGCGUGAUCUCA